rnacentral:rRNA from 1 species
GUUGAACGCUGGCGGCGUGCCUAAUACAUGCAAGUCGAGCGAACAAACGAGGAUCUUGCUCCUCUGACGUUAGCGGCGGACGGGUGAGUACCACGUGGAUAACCUACCUAUAAGACUGGGAUAACUUCAGGAAGCCGGAUCUAAUACAGGUUAAUAUAUUGAACCGCAUGGUUCAAUAGUGAAAGCCGGUUUUGCUGUCACUUAUUGAUGGAUCCGCGCCGCAUUAGCUAGUUGGUACGGUAACGGCUUACCAAGGCGACGAUGCGUAGCCGACCUGAGAGGGUGAUCGGCCACACUGGAACUGAGACACGGUCCAGACUCCUACGGGAGGCAGCAGUAGGGAAUCUUGCGCAAUGGGCGAAAGCCUGACGGAGCAACGCCGCGUGAGUGAUGAAGGUCUUCGGAUCGUAAAACUCUGUUAUUAGGGAAGAACAAAUGUGUAAGUAACUAUGCACGUCUUGACGGUACCUAAUGAGAAAGCCACGGCUAACUACGUG